CCUACGGGUGGCUGCAGUGAGGAAUAUUGGUCAAUGGUCGGGAGACUGAACCAGCCAAGCCGUGUGAGGGAUGAAGGUACAGAGUAUCGUAAACCUCUUUUGUCAGGGAACAAAGGCGGGGACGUGUCCCCGGAUGAGUGUACCUGAAGAAAAAGCAUCGGCUAACUCCGUGCCAGCAACCGCGGUAAUACGGAGGAUGCGAGCGUUGUCCGGAUUUAUUGGGGUUAAAGGGGGCGGAGGCGGUCUGUUAAGUCAGCGGCAAAAGCCCGGGGCUCAACCCCGGCCCGUCGUUGAAACUGACAGUCUCGAGUUGGAGAGAAGGAUGAGGAAUGCGCGGUGUAGCGGUGAAAUGCAUAGAUAUCGCGCAGAACUCCGAUUGAGAAGGCAGCAUGCCGGCUCCACACUGACGCUGAGGCACGAAAGCGUGGGUAUCGAACAGGAUUAGAUACCCCUGUAGUC
rnacentral:rRNA from 1 species